AUCUACAGCCAUGCUGCCCUGAACAAGCCCGAUCCUGUCUGAUCUCAGAAGCUAAGCAGGGUCGGGCCUGGUUAGUACUUGGAUGGGAGACCACCUAGGAAGACCAGGUGCUGUAGGCG
rnacentral:rRNA from 1 species